rnacentral:lncRNA from 1 species
UUGUUUAUUUUUGUCAAGAAGGGUGUGCUGCAGAAACGAAAAAGGCUGCCUAUUUUUGCCUAUAAAAUGAGAGAUUCGGCUCUCAUUUUGAUACACCAACAAAAGAGAGAAAAAGAGUAAGGUUUCACAGACAGGGUAUAAGGGUGUUAUUUUGUUUGUUUAUUUUUGUCAAGAAGGGUGUGCUGCAGAAACGAAAAAGGCUGCCUAUUUUUGCCUAUGAAAUGAUAGCUUUGGCUCUCAUUUUGAUACACCAACAAAAAGAGAGAAAAAGAGUAAGGUUUCACAGACAGUGUAUAAGAAAUAGUCUGUGAGAAAAGUAGAGAGUGAGCGAUAUUGUAGUGAGGUGGAAAUAUCAAAAGAGGGUUAUUUUCUUUUGAGUGUUGUAGUGGUCUUUGGAGUAUUUUACUCG